UGCCUCAGUAACGGCGAGUGAAGCGGCAACAGCUCAAAUUUGAAAUCUGGCUCCUUCGGGGUCCGAGUUGUAAUUUGCAGAGGAUGUGUCGGGUACGGGUUCCCUCCGAGUUCCCUGGAACGGGACGCCAUAGAGGGUGAGAGCCCCGUCUGGUAGGACACCCAGCCCGUGUGACACUCCCUCGACGAGUCGAGUAGUUUGGGAAUGCUGCUCUAACGGGAGGUAUACUCCUUCCAAGGCUAAAUACCGGCUGGAGACCGAUAGCGCACAAGUAGAGUGAUCGAAAGAUGAAAAGUACUUUGAAAAGAGAGUCAAAUAGCACGUGAAAUUGUUAAAAGGGAAGCACUCGCUACCAGACUUGGGUUCAGCGGUUCAACCGGGGCCACGCCCCGGGGCAUUCCGCCGGCCCAGGCCAGCAUCAGCUUUCCGUCGGGGGUAAAGGCGUCGGGAAUGUGGCUCUCCUUCGGGGGAGUGUUAUAGCCCGUCGUGUCAUACCCUUCGGGGGGCUGAGGUACGCGCUUCUGCAAGGAUGCUGGCGUAAUGGUAGCUAGUGACCCGUCUUGAAACACGGACCAAGGAGUCAACCUUAUGUGCGAGUGCCCGGGCGUAAAACCCCAGCGCGGAAUGAAAGUGAACGUAGGUGAGAGCUUCGGCGCAUCACCGACCGAUCCAGAUGUCCUCGGACGGAUUUGAGUGAGAGCAUAUAGGGUUGGACCCGAAAGAAGAUGAACUAUGCGUGUGUAGGGUGAAGCCAGAGGAAACUCUGGUGGAGGCUCGCAGCGGUUCUGACGUGCAAAUCGAUCGUCAAACAUGCGCAUGG
rnacentral:rRNA from 1 species